GCGGACGGCGCUGAAGCCAGUCGAAGAUACCAGCUGGCUGCAACUGUUUAUUAAAAACACAGCACUGUGCAAACACGAAAGUGGACGUAUACGGUGUGACGCCUGCCCGGUGCUGGAAGGUUAAUUGAUGGGGUUAGCGUAAGCGAAGCUCCUGAUCGAAGCCCCAGUAAACGGCGGCCGUAACUAUAACGGUCCUAAGGUAGCGAAAUUCCUUGUCGGGUAAGUUCCGACCUGCACGAAUGGCGUAAUGAUGGCCAGGCUGUCUCCACCCGAGACUCAGUGAAAUUGAACUCGCUGUGAAGAUGCAGUGUACCCGCGGCAAGACGGAAAGACCCCGUGAACCUUUACUAUAGCUUGACACUGAACAUUGAGCCUUGAUGUGUAGGAUAGGUGGGAGGCUUUGAAGUGUGGACGCCAGUCUGCAUGGAGCCAACCUUGAAAUACCACCCUUUAACGUUUGAUGUUCUAACCUAGGCCCAUAAACUGGGUCGGGGACCGUGUCUGGUGGGUAGUUUGACUGGGGCGGUCUCCUCCUAAAGAGUAACGGAGGAGCACGAAGGUUGGCUAAGCAUGGUCGGACAUCAUGCGGUUAGUGCAAAGGCAUAAGCCAGCUUGACUGCGAGAGUGACGGCUCGAGCAGGUACGAAAGUAGGUCUUAGUGAUCCGGUGGUUCUGAAUGGAAGGGCCAUCGCUCAACGGAUAAAAGGUACUCCGGGGAUAACAGGCUGAUACCGCCCAAGAGUUCAUAUCGACGGCGGUGUUUGGCACCUCGAUGUCGGCUCAUCACAUCCUGGGGCUGAAGUAGGUCCCAAGGGUAUGGCUGUUCGCCAUUUAAAGUGGUACGCGAGCUGGGUUUAGAACGUCGUGAGACAGUUCGGUCCCUAUCUGCCGUGGGCGUUGGAAGAUUGAGAGGGGUUGCUCCUAGUACGAGAGGACCGGAGUGAACGCACCACUGGUGUUCGGGUUGUCAUGCCAAUGGCAUUGCCCGGUAGCUAAGUGCGGAAGAGAUAACCGCUGAAAGCAUCUAAGCGGGAAACUUGCCUCGAGAUGAGUCUUCCCUGUCGCUUUAAGCGACCUAAAGGAACGUUUAAGACUAAGACGUUGAUAGGCUGGGUGUGUAAGCGUAGCGAUACGUUGAGCUAACCAGUACUAAUGAACCGUGAGGCUUAACCUGACAACACCGAAAGUGUUUUG
rnacentral:rRNA from 1 species